UCCCCGGUGCCCACAUGUGGAGCAUCCAGCACCUGCAGGCAGCGUACAAGGCGAGGACCCACCUGCCAGGGCUGCUCCUCAAGGGGGCCCUGCCCAGGACUGCUUCUGGGAAGGGCCCUCCCUGGGGCCGUUCCUGGGCAGAGAACAAGGCCCCUGGGGGAGGCCAUGUACCCAGGACUCCACCCACAGGGGCCGUGUCUGAGGCGUCUCCUGGGAGCUGGUCCUUAUCCUCCUGAACAAUGAGACUGUUUUCUUUCCCUUGAUAGAAGAAGCAGCUCACCCAAGGCCACACAGCCCGGAGAUGCCAACGCUGAGUCCCAAAGUUCUGACUGUGCCCGCUCGAUGCCCUGACCCGCUGUUCCUGAAGCUGUUCUCCUGACUCAGCUUCUGCUAAGGUGACAAGACGGAGGCACACAGCCAUCUGACCACACCGCACAAUGAGGCACCAGGAAGGGGAGAGCAACGUAGGGGAAGGGACAGGAAGGGACCUGCAAGACGGGCCUUGAAGGAUGUGUAGGAGUUUGGCAAGAAGAGAAGAGGGCAAAGGGCCCAUUCAGGAAGCAGCAUGGGCGGGGUCCAGGGGAGAAGAGGGCUUGCUGCUGGGUGGGGUAGCCUGGUGGACUGGGUCACCUGGCUCAGGGGCCACCUCCUUCCUGAGGGGCCCAGAGCACCGGGAGUGGAGAGCUGCACGGAAGCAUGGUUCGUGGGGAUCGAGGACGUCGGGGGCACCUGGGUUUUGAGGUUUGAGCCGAGACUCCUCACUUUUUGGCUCAAGUAGAAACAGGUCUGAGAGGGGGUCCAGAUACUGUCACAGACAACCCCCACGGAUGGGUGCCCACCCCCACCAGUCACUGUGGAGGCAGCUGGAUCCACGUGGAAAACACGCCACCAGUGGCUUCUGCUGCUGCUGCAGAGCAGGUGAGCUUGUGACUCGCCUAGCAGGGCACCAAGUGACCAGAACAGCCCCGGACCCCCAGCCCUGUCCUGCCUUGUGUGGGGCGCCGCCUCGGAGGAGCCUUCGAAGGGUAAAUUUUCCCUUCCCCGCCCUUCAUGGAGGCCCAGGGUUUAAUACAAAUGUCCAUUGUAGAUAUUUAUUAACUCAAGAAAGCAACCAACCACUAUCACUCAGAGACUCCCUUCUUUGUUUUAAUUGGCUUGUUUAAUUGCUAGCUGUGUGGCCUGGGGCAGGUUAGCUCACCUCUCUGCGCUCCAUUUCUCCAUCUGUAUAUAGGAAUGAUAAUGUGAUCUGUUGCAUAAGACUGAUGUGAGGACUAAAUGGAAAUGUCAGGACAAAGCACAGCACCCGGGCAAUGUUGGUGUUUCCUAUUCAAGAACUUUACAGAUUUUAUUGCAAGUAAAAAGCACGAAUCCCUCCCCGAUUCGUCCUGCAGGGUCCCAGGUUUGCUGUGGUUCUUUUCUUGUUCUCUAGACUUUUCUUGGGGUUAGCGGUGGCUCAGCCCCCAGCAGGUCACAAGUGUCCCUUUUUACUUCUCUUCGUUCUUGGUGCUCAUGAGGGCUCGGUAACCCGGGCUUUGAGGGCAGAGGGGUCAGAGCUUGGGUCCAACCAGCUUUGCUGCGCUAGAGCCCUCUGCAGCCGCUUGGACUGCACUGCGCCCUCUCGCCCGCACCGAGGCCCCGGCACCUCUCCACCCCUUCGUGGAGUGCACUGCCAUCCACAGACAAAGUCUGCACGUGUGGGGUCAAAGAGAGACCCUCGCGGAGACCCAGAGUGCCGGGAGAGCAGAAGGCAGGGGAGUCCACACAGGGCAAGCAGCAACCAGGCUUCUGAGGACAGGAAAGGAGGGAGCAUCUGGUGGGAAGCUGGCGAGGAGGGGCUGGGAGCUGGUAAAGGGGUAACGGAAGGUCGCCUAGCUCCCUACCCCAAUGGCAGCCGACCCCCACCCCAGCCUGCCGCGCUGCACCCUCUCCUGCACAGGCCUGAACCUGCUGCGGAACCGUCUGUGGGGUCCCAAGUCCACCACAGACCAGGGGCUUCAGCCUGCUGCCUUCCCAGACGCAGGGACCCUGGACGCCUCCACAAGCACCCUGAAUCCUUAUCUGCUGUGGGCGAAGAGGAAAGGCCAGGAAUAAGGGCGCAUGUGGGGCACCCCAGCUCUUCCCAGACGGACAGCGCCGGCUGUCCAGACCCCCGUGGGGGGGAUCCAGUGACACCCACCCCGACGGCCCCACAUCGCCGCCUUCCUGCCUUCCCAGGUCUUCACCCUUCACCAGCGUCCUCUCCGAGCCCUGACUGACAGGAGUUGAGGGCCCGUUUCUGCAAGGAAGAACUUUCAUGCGGUGGCUCCCGCCUGUAAUCCCAGCACUUUGGGAGGCUGAGGCGGGCGGAUCAUCUGAGGUCAGGAGCUCGAUGAGACCAGCCUGACCAACAUGGUGAAACCCCGUCUCUACUAAAAAUACAAAAAUUAGCCGGGUGUGGUGGCGGGUGCCUGUAGUCCUAGCUACUCAGGAAGCUGAGGCAGGAGAAUCGCUUGAACCUGGGAGGCGGUGAGCUGAGAUCGCGCCGCUGCACUCCAGCCUGGGAGACAGAGCGAGACUCCGCAAAA
rnacentral:lncRNA from 1 species